rnacentral:rRNA from 2 species
GCAUAUCAAUAAGCGGAGGAAAAGAAAAUAACAAUGAUUCCCUUAGUAACGGCGAGUGAAGGGGGAAAAGCUCAAAUUUUAAAUCUGCUAGGUUUUACUUAUCAGAAUUGUAAUUUGAAGAAGCGUUUUCCGCGUCUCGGUUGGCCCAAAUCCUUUGGGAUGAGGUAUCAUGGAGGGUGAGAAUCCCGUUCGGUUGACCUCAUGACGCUCUACGAUACGCUUUCUAAGAGUCGAGUUGUUUGGGAUUGCAGCUCAAAAUGGGAGGUAAAUUUCUCCUAAGGCUAAAUAUCGGCGAGAGACCGAUAGCGAACAAGUACCGUGAGGGAAAGAUGAAAAGAACUUUGAAAAGAGAGUAAAAUAGUACGUGAAAUUGUUGAAAGGGAAACGAUUGAAGUCAGUCGUACCGACGAGAAAUCAACUUAUCGUGUGCGAACUUGUGGGCGUGCGUGAGUUUCGGCCUCGCUGUUUGCAUGUUUGUGCGCUUUCGGUGUACUUUUUCGUAUGGUAGGCCAACGUCAGUUUCGAUCAUCAUAAAAUGACCGGCGGAAUGUAGCUUCGACCUCGGUUGAAGUGUUAUAGCCUCUGGUAGAUGUGGUAAUUGGGACUGAGGAUUGCAACGAAUACCCUUUGGGCUAUCCGUCUGAUCUCUGAAAGUUGCUCAGGUGCCGAAAGCUUGCUUACGGUCAUCUAAGUUGACGGUCAAUAGGUUAGAACGUGAUUACAUUCGUUAAGGACGUUGACGUAAUGGCUUUAAACGAC